rnacentral:rRNA from 1 species
CCAGCAGUGCGGUUAUACAAAUAAUAUGAUUUAAUUUAUUCAGUAAUAAUUAAUUAAUAUUUUAAAUUAAAAUUUAUAAGGUGAAAUUUUAAAUUUUUAAAAAAUUAAUAUUUAAUAAUGAAGUUAAAAAAUUUAAAAAAUAAACUAGGAUUAGAUACCCUUUUAAAUGUAAUUUAAAAUACUAAAUUAGUAAUAGUUAUGUUCUUGAAAAUUAAAAAUUUUGGCGGUAUUUUAGUCUAUUCAGAGGAACUUGUUCUGUAAUUGAUAAUCCACGAUUUAAUUUACUUUUUUUUUUAAUUUGUAUAUCGUCGUAAUUAGAAUAUUUUAUAAGAAUAAUAAUAUUCAAGAUUUUAAAUAAAAAGGUAAAUCAGAUCAAGGUGCAGUUUAUAAAAAAGUAGAAAUGAGUUACAGUAAUUUUAAUUUGGGAUUAUUAUUUAUAAAAUAAUAUGAAUAUGGAUUUGAAAGUAAAUUUAAUAAAUUAAUUAAAUUGAUUUAGCUCUAAGAUAUGUACACAUCGCCCG